AAAGGAAUACAAUUCAGACAGAAAUUUGUCAAGAAGACCCGCAGAGGCUGAAGAAAUAACAUCACAAAUCAUGAGUCUACCCAAGGGCACGUCUGUUCCCAAGAAUUUAUCUUUGGUUUUGCUACCCAGAAGAAAAAGAAGACCCUGGUGGCACUGUGUGCUCAUAAAACAAAAGAGAAGAAAUAAAUUAUGAAAAAGAAACUUUCGGAGACAGGGAUAGUUCAUUUGAUUCUUGCAAUGAGGAGGGGACAAAUUACUGCAGGGAGCAGUGACUGAGAGCAUGGAAAUGAUGAUCAACCACUCUGGGGCAUGUGUGGUCUCUCUCUGCUCCUUCAUCUCAUGGAAACAUGUUUCUACGUGCAUGGCUACUUGUCCAGAAAUACUCUGUCCCGGAUCCCCAUCUCCAGCUGUGUCCUUUUGCAGUCAGACCAGCGGCUGCCUCCUCCUUCCUCCCCAGCCCAGCAGCACGGCAGGGACACGGCUCUGGGCCCAGGGACCACUGCGGGCAUCACUGGGCCAGCACAAGGUGAGCCUGGGGCAGAGGCACCGGCUGGACGGGUGCACAUUCUGGCUUUAUAUUUAUUUAACAAAGGAAACAGUAGCAUCCUUACUGCUUCCUAGCAGUAGCCGAUCUAUAGCAACACUAGGAAAUUUCUGA
rnacentral:lncRNA from 1 species